CUAGGGGAGGAAGGGGUUAAACACUCUCCUACCUCUUCCAAUGUCAUUUGCUGAAUGAAGCCCAUGGAGGGGGAGUGGGCCUUGACAUUGCCAGGAGACAGGCAUCUAAGGGUCAGUGGUUAGGGAUUGGCUUAAAGAAAUGGAGUGGGGUGGAGUUAUAAGAGGAGUAUAAGUAGUGGCCAUUUUAGAUCUAGGGAUCACUUUAAUCUAAGUUGCACUUACCUGUUGUUGUGGCAGGAUUUGUUUGGCUUUUUCUUUUGUCUCCUCUGCAGGUUGUCAGCAAGAUGGAAGAUUGGCUGGAAGGAGUCCGGGCCGCAGUGGCUGAGGGAUCGCCUUGGAGGCUCUACUUUGCCAUCCGGAUCAGAAGGCUCCCUGGGUCAGAGGCCGGUCAGGAGGACAAGGCCCCCACAGAGAUUGAGCCCCAGC